rnacentral:tRNA from 1 species
GCUUACGUAGCUUAAGUAAAGCACAGCACUGAAGAUGCUGAGAUGAGCCAUAAAAAGCUCCGAAAGCA